rnacentral:misc_RNA from 1 species
UUAAGUUCAGCGGGUAUCCCUACCUGAUCCGAGGUCAAAAUAAAAGAGAUGGCUUCUGGGAGCCGACACCGCGGGCCCGAGUUCGCGUUUCUGCUGCGCUCGAAGCUUACGUACCGGCCGCCAAUGAAUUUGGGGCGAGUCCACGCCCGGAGGCGGCGGACAGUCACCCAACACCAAGCUGAGCUUGAAGGGUUUAAAUG